GAAAUGCUCAGGGCUCCACACUGAGCAUGGCCAGUGCUGAGCAAGUGAGUGAAGCCCCUCUCAGUAGCCAGUGCAUGGAUUGUACAGUGGAGAAGGUUUUAAAAAACCACCAAAAACUGAUGGAUUCUUACAUCUGGGGAAGACUUUAGAGCAAUCACCGGAACAGCCAGAGGAUGAACAGCAGCAAAGAGCUUGGCUUGUCAGGCUAGGACAACAGUAUAUCCAAAUACUGCCAAAUGCCUGGGAGCAACUGAAGAAAUCAGAACUGAAUCUCCUGAUGCAAAUACCAAUGGAGGGAGAAGACCAGAGUGACACCAGGAAGGGGACCCAGGGCGAGUUGUGG
rnacentral:lncRNA from 1 species